UGUGCAUGAUGAUGAGGAGGAUGUGCAGCAAGCAAGUGGUGAAUCUGUUCUCCCUGGCAGCUAAGACCUUUUCAUCACCCUGGAGCCAAUACCCUCCCAAGGGGGGAUCCCCAACCCUGAAGGAGGAGAAGGCACCUCUGGUGCAAAUGUUUCUAUGCUCCCCCUAUCAUCUCUGUCC